rnacentral:rRNA from 1 species
UACGGGGGGAGCAAGCGUUGUUCGGAUUUACUGGGCGUAAAGGGCGCGUAGGCGGCCACCGCAAGUCGAUUGUGAAAUCUCCGGGCUUAACCCGGAAAGGUCAACCGAUACUGCGGGGCUAGAGUGCAGAAGGGGCAACUGGAAUUCUCGGUGUAGCGGUGAAAUGCGUAGAUAUCGAGAGGAACACCGGUGGCGAAGGCGACAUCCUGGACCGGUAUUGACGCUGAGGCGCGAAAGCCAGGGGAGCAAACGGG